rnacentral:rRNA from 1 species
UUCCUGUGUUAACACGAGAGAUUGGGGCGUUCACUUAGGUGACGCAGGGUACAGGUGCCGCAUAGCUGUCAGUCAGCUCCUGUUCCUAAAAUGUUCGGUUAAAUCUCGGCAACGAGUGCCACCCACAUCCUUAGUUGCCAACACUUUGGCUGGGCACUUUAAAGGAACCACCCCUGAUUAGCGUGAGGAAAUUGUUGAUGUCGUCAAGUCCUUAUUGCCCUUACUGGUUUGGCUACACACGUGGAUCAAAGGCAGUGUCAAUGGGUUAAUUCCAAAAAACUGUCUCAGUUCGGGUUGGGGUCUGCAACUCGAACCCAUGAAGUCGGAAUCGCUAGUAAUUGCGUAACAGCAUGACGCGGUGAAUACGUUUCCAGGCCUUGUACACACCGCCCGUCACACCAUGGGAGUUGGUUUACCCGAAGGCGGUGCGCUAACCUUGGGGGGCAGGCGGCCACGGUAGGAUUAGCGACUGGGGUGAAGUCGUAAAAAAGUAACCAA